GUGCGUGAACCGCUCAGAGGUAAACGGGUGGAGUUGAACUGCGAACUUCGAGAAUUCAACUGGUGAGUGUGGUUUGAGCUUGGGCAUAAUGGUUGGCUUUACGGGUCUGCUUAGCUGCAGGUCUUCACCUUUUGGUGCGGAUGCGCUAUGCACUUGUCAAGUGUUGCGCGCUCGGAAAGCAAUUGGAGCCAACUUACCAGUGCACUUUCUCGGGGUGUUCACCACGACCGGCGCCGCUACUUGUCCAAUAUGGUCAAACCGGUUUUGCUUAGUCCUUGUGGCUUCGUUUAAUCGGGAUGGCAGGUAACUCGUUGACUUGUGUGUUAACUUUGGUUGACACACGCUUGGUGCUCGAGUGUAAUUAGCUGACUGUAUUGGUACUAUGUGGUGCGUCGGAGACGGCGGCUUGUGGUGUGAGCCUGCGUGCCUAUUCUGCCAACGGAUCCGGGUUUGGUUAUUAUGUUGCCUGUUAUACAGGCCUGGUGAUAGCUCGGAUUCGCUUGGUGGAUGGUAGCGUGUGUGACACUUAUCAGGGCCUAUAGUCUGUGGUGUUGUGGUAGACUAUCCACCUGACCCGUCUUGAAACACGGACCAAGGAGAGUAACAUGUGCGCGAGUCAUUGGGCGUUACGAAACCCAAAGGCGAAGUGAAAGUGAAGACUUGACUUGUUCAAGUUGUGGUGAGAUCCUGUCGUGUCUCAUGCGCGGUACUACCAAGCAUUCGAGCGAUAGGCGCAUCACCGGCCCGUCCCAUGGUGUGGUCACUGUCUUCGGAUUGGUGCGUCCGUCAUCGGGGCGGAGCAUGAGCGCACAUGUUGAGACCCGAAAGAUGGUGAACUAUGCUUGUGCAGGUUGAAGCCAGAGGAAACUCUGGUGGAGGACCGUAGCGAAUCUGACGUGCAAAUCGAUCGUCAAACGUGAGUAUGGGGGCGAAAGACUAAUCGAACCAUCUAGUAGCUGGUUCCCUC
rnacentral:rRNA from 1 species